GUGCGAUCGUAGUACAGGUGUACGGCGAUGGGGCGGAUGUUGCGUGGCGUAUGCCUAUGUCUUGUCGUACUCCUUUUGUUUGCCACUAAGCUCUGUUCUUCCAGGAGUCUGGAAACGAACAAUGAAUCUGAUCGCCAGCAACUCAAGCUACCAGCACGUUCGAAGCCACAGAACUGCAGCCACAGAGGCCAGAGCAUAUGCCAGAAGUAUGGAAAAAUAUGCGUCUCUUAUGAUGGCGGAGAAGUAUGCAUAGAACGAUCAAAGCCGCAGAAAUGCAGCGAGAGAGGGCAAAGUGUAUGCCAAAAAUAUGGAACAAAAUGUGUAUCUUAUGACGGCGGAGAAGUCUGCGUGGAUACAUAGGCACAGCUGUGGUACAGGUCUUUGUAGCUCAAAUAAAAACAGAAAUUUACGACACAGUGAAAAA